AAGAAGGGAUUUUAUUGAUUGGGAAGUGGAAAGACUCUGUAUUCUGCUUCAGAGGUGAAACAACAUAACCUUGGAUCACAACAGAACAGACUCCAUAGGUUGGAAAAGCGAUCAACAGGGUCUUUUUUCAGUCAAAAGUUGUUACCACAUGCUAGAUUCUAACAGCGACGGGGUAUUAUGUCCUUGGGAAAAGGUUUGGAGAAGCAAGGCUUCUUUAAAGGUUGCUUGUUUCUCUUGGAUUGUUGCUCGGGAGGCUUGUCUUCCACAAUCAAACCUCCAAAAGAGGGGGCUGUGCAGUAGAUGCCCAUUGUGUGAAGAGCAUCCGGAAGAAGUUGGCCAUCUCUUCUUGCAUUGUAGGGUCACUAGGCAGCUGUGGAAUAUGUUUCUGGUAAUUUUGGGCAUGAUUUGGGCCAAUGCCAAAAUCAAUUGUUGAACUCUUGCAAGGUUGGAGCAGAGAGGGGAUUAGUAAGAAAUCUCUAAGAACUUGAAAUACCAUACCUCAAGCCAUCGGGUAGACUGUCUGGCUUGAAAGAAACAAUAGAAUUUUUGAAGGCACAUCGAGCAAUAUUCACAGCCUUAAACAGAGAUGUAUUUUUUUGUUAGCUUUUUGGUGCAAUCUGGUAAUUGAUCAUGAUGUAGAUGGAAUGCUAGAUACAAUAGAGGGUUUGCACAACCUGUAAUUAUGCCUGAUGCACUGGCUUAGUGCAUAAAUUUAUAAAUUGAUCAUGAUGUAGAUGGAAUGCUAGAUACAAUAGAGGCUUUGCAGAACCUGUAAUUAUGCCUGAUGCACUGGCUUAGUGCAUAAAUUUAUUAAUAUAUUUAAUUACUUAUCAAAUAAAAUAAAAGAUGAAAAAAUCUUAGUUUAACACCGCUAUAUUGCUUAGAAGUUGACCAAAUAUUGCUAAAUCCCUUCUAAUUAAAUCACUGUAUCUAUGGUGAUAAUAGAUCGAAAACGGAAUGAUGUUUUCUUGUUGCUGCUAUGGAAUAUGUGGCAUCAAUAAUCAAUCAAAUUCAUGUAUUUUGCAUAUGAAGGGUGAAUACUGCAGAUUUAUGAAUGGUGGCUACAGAAGAAGGAAGAAGAAAGGGAGUAGGGAGGGAAGGAUUAUUUGGAGAUCAUAAAAAAGUUAUAAGGGUAAUAGGGUAAAAUAGUUGGUCAAACCCCAUAAUGAUUUUAAGCCAAAAGC
rnacentral:lncRNA from 1 species